rnacentral:rRNA from 1 species
CAAGUAAGACUAGUGUUAUUCAUCUUAAUUAGGUUAAGGGUACCUAGACAGUAUUCUAGCCUCCAAGGGAACAGAUUUACUAGAGUUUAUGUGAGAGGAAUAUUAGAACCAUUGGAGUAGUGAUAAAUAGUUUGAUACUAAUGGGACGGAUAACGGCGAAGGCAAACCUCUAUGUAAUAACUGACGUUGAGGGACGAAGGCUUGGGUAGCGAAUAGGAUU